rnacentral:rRNA from 1 species
CCUACGGGAGGCAGCAGUGAGGAAUAUUGGUCAAUGGGCGGGAGCCUGAACCAGCCAAGUCGCGUGAGGGAAGACGGUCCUAUGGAUUGUAAACCUCUUUAGGCGGGGAGCAAUGCCGGGCACGCGUGCCCGGCGGGAGAGUACCCGCAGAAUAAGCAUCGCCUAACGCGGUGCCAGCCGCCGCGGGAAUACGGAGGGUGCGCGUUAUCCGGAUUUUUUGGGUUUAAAGGGUGCGUAGGCGGAUUUUUAAGUCAGCGGUAAAAUGUCGGGGCGCAACCCUGGCCGGCCGUUGAAACUGGGGAUCUGGAGUGAGCGAGAAGUAUGCGGAAUGCGUGGUGUAGCGGUGAAAUGCAUAGAUAUCACGCAGAACUCCGAUUGCGAAGGCAGCAUACCGGCGCCCGACUGACGCUGAGGCACGAAAGCGUGGGGAUCGAACAGGAUUAGAUACCCGAGUAGUC